rnacentral:rRNA from 1 species
CCUACGGGAGGCAGCAGUAGGGAAUCUUUCACAAUGGGCGAAAGCCUGAUGGAGCAACGCCGCGUGCAGGAUGAAGGCCUUCGGGUUGUAAACUGCUUUUAUAAGCGAGAAAUAUGAUGGUAACUUAUGAAUAAGGAUCGGCUAACUACGUGCCAGCAGCCGCGGUCAUACGUAGGAUCCGAGCAUUAUCCGGAGUGACUGGGUGUAAAGAGUUGCGUAGGUGGCAUAAUAAGUCGCUAGGGAAAUCUGGUGGCUCAACCAUUCAGACUAUUAGCUAAACUGUUAAGCUCGAGACCGUUAGGGGUAACUGGAAUUUCUAGUGUAGGGGUGAAAUCCGUAGAUAUUAGAAGGAACACCAAUAGCGUAGGCAGGUUGCUGGGACGGUUCUGACACUAAGGCACGAAAGCGUAGGGAGCAAACGGGAUUAGAUACCCGAGUAGUC